UUUUAUUUGUUUGGUAAGUGUGGGUGAAAUAUUUACAACUGAUGUCACUCGUUUAUUCACUGAAAUAUAACACGGAACUAGAAAACUGGUGGAGGGAGGGAGCGCUGGUGGAGGGAGGGUAGAAGGGGAGUGGAGGGUGCAGAGAGUGUAAAGAAGAGCGAGUGUGUAGCAGGGAAAGUACUGGUCUGUGCUGCGUGUGGGAAGUAACUUUAGUGGCGGCGUGAAGGCGAGGACACGAGUGAGGUGCUGGCAGGCUGACUGAGAACGUCAUUGUACGACAGAGUAGCCAGCUAAACAGCCGAGCCCUCAGCGUGCGCCUCCCGCCGGACAAGGGACCCUACAUCCAACACUACUCUCAUUGAGAUCCACAACGAAGGCUCCUCCUACUCACUCCAAGCUUCUGAAACCGCUUCGACACCCUUCCUUCGCUCAUCACCUAUUAUUCUCAGUGCUGCGAAGAGUUGCUGGCUCAGCUCAAGCUUCCUCGCACCGUCCAGGAGGCCAAGACCCGCCAUGAACUCGGCUCUCUCUCGCUGCUCGGACAAGGUGAGCAUCAAACACUUACGUGGUCGUGAAAUGUAAUUGAAGUGUAAUGAGCGAGAGGAGGAUUCUCCACUUCAAUGGUGGAAUGACCUCUGCCUUUCUACGAAUGUGUGGGUAGUUUGAUGGCCCGGGAAGUUAAUAAUCCUUGACUGCAAUGCCUCAUUCAUGACAUCUGCUUACCCCAGUGAAUGUCCACGAUGUCACCACUACGAUGGCCAGUUAUAAGACUGCCAUAGCGACUGAGUUGGUGCAAAAAGUAUCCCCUACCUGGCGGACAGUACCUCCUUGCCCACGAGAUCAUCCCUUUCAUUCUGUGUAA